ACCAGCAUGGCACAGUGGUUUGAGUGUUGGACUAUGACUCUGGAGUGUAGGGUUCAAUUCCCCGCCUGGCC